rnacentral:rRNA from 1 species
GAGUGAACGCUGGCGGCGUGCCUAAUACAUGCAAGUCGAACGGAGAUUAAGUAGCUUGCUAUUUAAUCUUAGUGGCGCACGGGUGAGUAAUAUAUAGCUAAUCUGCCCUACACUAGAGGACAACAGUUGGAAACGACUGCUAAUACUCUAUACUCCUUCUUUACAUAAGUUAAGUCGGGAAAGUUUUUCGGUGUAGGAUGAGGCUAUAUCGUAUCAGCUAGUUGGUAGGGUAACGGCCUACCAAGGCUAUGACGCGUAACUGGUCUGAGAGGAUGAUCAGUCACACUGGAACUGAGACACGGUCCAGACUCCUACGGGAGGCAGCAGUAGGGAAUAUUGCUCAAUGGGGGAAACCCUGAAGCAGCAACGCCGCGUGGAGGAUGACACUUUUCGGAGCGUAAACUCCUUUUCUUGGGAAAGAAUUAUGACGGUACCCAAGGAAUAAGCACCGGCUAACUCCGUGCCAGCAGCCGCGGUAAUACGGAGGGUGCAAGCGUUACUCGGAAUCACUGGGCGUAAAGGACGCGUAGGCGGAUUAUCAAGUCUCUUGUGAAAUCUAACGGCUUAACCGUUAAACUGCUUGGGAAACUGAUAAUCUAGAGUAAGGGAGAGGCAGAUGGAAUUCUUGGUGUAGGGGUAAAAUCCGUAGAGAUCAAGAAGAAUACCCAUUGCGAAAGCGAUCUGCUGGAACUUAACUGACGCUAAUGCGUGAAAGCGUGGGGAGCAAACAGGAUUAGAUACCCUGGUAGUCCACGCCCUAAACGAUGUAUACUAGUCGUUGCUUCGCUAGUCGAGGCAGUAAUGCACCUAACGGAUUAAGUAUACCGCCUGGGGAGUACGGUCGCAAGAUUAAAACUCAAAGGAAUAGACGGGGAC